rnacentral:rRNA from 1 species
UACGUAGGGUGCAAGCGUUAAUCGGAAUUACUGGGCGUAAAGCGUGCGCAGGCGGUGAUGUAAGACAGAUGUGAAAUCCCCGGGCUCAACCUGGGAACUGCAUUUGUGACUGCAUCGCUGGAGUACGGCAGAGGGGGAUGGAAUUCCGCGUGUAGCAGUGAAAUGCGUAGAUAUGCGGAGGAGCACCGAUGGCGAAGGCAAUCCCCUGGGCCUGUACUGACGCUCAUGCACGAAAGCGUGGGGAGCAAACAGG